CAGAGACACACAGAAGACACAGAGAAAAGGUGGCCAUCUACGAGCCACCUUCUACAAGAGAGGCCUCAGAAUGAACCCAACCCUGCUGACACCUUGAUCUUGGACUUCUAGCCACCAGAAUGGUGAGGACAUAAAUUCCUGUUGCUUAAGCCACCCAGUCUGUGGUAUUCGUUACAGCAGUCACAGAAAAAUAGUACACAGGCCUUGAGAAACAGACGUGAACACUGCUCCAAUCCCUGGAGUAACAGGGAUUCCUGUGAGCUGCCUGACUGCAGGCAGCACUGUCAGCAUCCCCAUCCCCCAGGAUCGCCUGGGACCUCCCUCUUAUCACAUCGCUCCACCUCAGCUCCUUGGCAGCCAGGCCUCCAGCGGGAGGCAGAGGGCAUCCUCAAGCUGGGCAAUUGGAGGAGCAUUUAAUGAAGGGGCUCUUUACAAAGGUGUGGGCAGGGUUUUGGGAGGUCAGAGAGGAAUGAUGCAGCCCUUCUGCAACCUCGCCUCACCCCAGGCCUGCAGGCAUGCGGAGGGAGUGCCCGCUGGAACCCAGGGCCAGGACAGGGCCUGUGCAGAGGAGUCCACCUUCAGCAAGACGGACCACCAAUACUCUGCGACUUAGAGAAGGAGACUGAGGAAUAAAUGCCCAGACCGUACUCCGCUCCUGCCCUCCUGGUUUCCUGCCAGAGUCUCCCCUUGUCUGAAGCCAACCUGAAGACACCCCUUGAGGACCCCUUCACUGUACUGGGACCAUGGGGGGCUGAGCCUCUGGGAUCAGUCACCUCCCUAACCUCCUGCAUGAGGAACAACUUGACGAACACACAUUUCAACCUGUAACAGGGUGGACAAGCAGAACCCUUCUUCAGAAGCACAUUUAUGAAGUUCCCGCAGUAACUGGCUCAGAGAGAAAUGCUGCUGUAACAGCUGAGAGAAAACUGAUAACCCUGAAAAUAAAGUGUCCAUGGAAAUCUCAUAUAUUGCCUAUUGUUUAAAAACAAUGUCUCACAUAAAA
rnacentral:lncRNA from 10 species